GUUCCUCACAUUCAAAAGGUGGCUGGAGGCGCGCAACCUGCGGCGCUCGGCGGAGAGCGUCCUUUAAAGCCGCCGCCAGCCAGCGCCGCUGUAACCCCGCGCACCGGCAGGUCCCCGGCUCCUGCCCCUUUCUUUCAAUCUGCGCCGACGCGGCUGCCGGAUCCCGGGGACUCCCCGCGCCAGGAAUCUCCCGCCAGCUGCGCGCCGUCCCGGCGACAGCAGGAGCACGUGGAGCGGCCGGGUAGCCACAGUGGCAGCUCCAGCCCAGCCCGGCGGCGACAUGGAAGAUAUACAACCAAAUGUAGACCUGAAAAGCACUCAGGAGCAGUCUGUGCCCACAGAAAGUCCAACAGUUUUGAAUGACUACAAUUUAACCAAACCUCAUGAAAUAGAAAAUGUGGACAGUGCAGAAGGCCCAACCAAUGAAGAUGAAGACAUGGGAGGUGAGCCAUAGUGUACGGACCAGGCACUGAUGGUCACAGAUAUGGUUAAGGCUAAAAAUGAAGCAGAAAUCUGCUAUCCAAAGAAAACUUGCAUUUGUGGA